GGCCGCCUGGCGAAAUGGCAUCGCGUCUGACUACGAUAAAUUUGUAAUCAGGAGAUUGCAGGUUCGACCCCUGCGGUGGUCA